CAUGGAGGGUGAGAAUCCCGUCCGGUUGAUCAUUUGCGUUUUACGAUACGCUUUCUAAGAGUCAAGUUGUUUGGGAUUGCAGCUUAAAAUGGGAGGUAAAUUUCUCCUAAGGCUAAAUAACGGCGAGAGACCGAUAGCGAACAAGUACCGUGAGGGAAAGAUGAAAAGAACUUUGAAAAGAGAGUUAAACAGUACGUGAAAUUGUUGAAAGGGAAACGAUUGAAGCCAGUCGUACCUUCGGGUAAUCAGCCUUUCGGGUGCGAUUCUGUGGAGUGUGAGGAGCUUAACACCUUCAUGCUUUGCAUAUUCGUACUCUUGGGUGUACUUGCCCGUGUGGUUGGUUAACAUCAAUUUUGGUGGUCAUAAAAUGACGGGAGGAAUGUAGCUUCGAUCUCGUAUUGAAGUGUUAUAGCCUUCGGUAGAUGUGAUGAUCGAGAUUGAGGAUUGCAACGGAUACCCUUCGGGGCUACCUGUCUGAUCUCUGAUCGUUGCUCUGGUACCGAAAGCUUGCUUACGGUUAUCAAAGUCGAUGGUCAAAAGGUUAGAACGGGUUAAAUUCGUUAAGGAUGUUGACGUAAUGG
rnacentral:rRNA from 1 species